CACAGUUUGAGCUUGGGGUUGCAUUGGAGCUAAGGAGCAACUUGUAUGAUCUGCUGUAUUCUCUGUUUAAGCUAUGGCUUUAGGAUCAUCACACUAAGGGCAUAUAAAGACAAUUGGGCUUUAAAUCAAUCCCAAGUGAAAGCUGGCAGUACUUUUGUGUCCUGGACUUCCUGACGGGCUGACCCUAAGUGGUGAAGGUAGGCAACGACACCUCCGCCACGCUGAUCCUCAACACAGGGGCCCCUGUACUUCCUGUUCACCCAUGACUAUGUGGCCACGCACGACCCCAACUCAAUCAUCUAGUUUGCUGUUGACACAACAGUUGUCACGUCCUGACCAUGGUAAGCUGUUAUUUUCUAUGUUGGUUUGUUUGGGAUGAUCUCCAAUUAGAGGCAGCUGGUCCUCGUUGUCUCUAAUUGGAGAUCAUACUUAAGUAGGGGUUUUUCUUCCUGGGUUUUGUGGG
rnacentral:lncRNA from 1 species